GAGUUUGAUCCUGGCUCAGAACAAACGCUGGCGGCGUGUCUUAAGCAUGCAAGUUGAGCGCAAGGAGGAGUCCCCCUAGAGCGGCGGACUGGUGAGUAACGCGUGGGUAUCUAUCGUAGGCAGGGGAUAGUCACUAGAAAUAGUGGGUAAUACCGAAUACGAGGGGAGUAYAAAGGGUGCUAYGGCACUGGCCUUAGGUGAGCUCGCGUCCCAUUAGCUAGUUGGUGAGGUAAAGGCCCACCAAGGCGAUGAUGGGUAGCCGGCCUGAGAGGGUGUACGGCCACACUGGGACUGAGAUACGGCCCAGACUCCUACGGGAGGCAGCAGCUAAGAAUAUUCCGCAAUGGACGAAAGUCUGACGGAGCGACGCCGCGUGGAUGAAGAAGGCCGAAAGGUUGUAAAGUUCUUUUGCUAGGGGAGAAAAGUGAGGGAGGGAAUGCCCUCAUGAUGACAAGGACUAGCGAAUAAGCCCCGGCCAACUACGUGCCAGCAGCCGYGGUAACACGUAGGGGGCGAGCGUUGUUCGGAAUUACUGGGCGUAAAGGGCAUGUAGGCGGCUUGGUAAGCCUGGCGUGAAAGACUGCAGCUUAACUGUAGGGAUGCGUUGGGAACUGCUUAGCUUGAGUUACGGAGAGGGAGCUGGAAUUCCUGGUGUAGGGGUGAAAUCUGUAGAUAUCAGGAAGAACACCGAUGGCGAAGGCAAGCUUCUGGUCGAUAACUGACGCUGAGGUGCGAAAGUGUGGGGAUCAAACAGGAUUAGAUACCCUGGUAGUCCACACUGUAAACGAUGUGCACGAGGUGCUGGGGCGGUGUUUCAGUGCCGGAGCGAACGCGGUAAGUGCACCGCCUGGGGAGUAUGCUCGCAAGGGUGAAACUCAAAGGAAUUGACGGGGGCCCGCACAAGCGGUGGAACAUGUGGUUUAAUUCGAUGCAACGCGAAGAACCUUACCUGGGCUUGACAUAACUAGAAAGGUCUGGGAAACCAGAUCCCUUUCCGGCGAACUAUACAGGUGGUGCAUGGCUGUCGUCAGCUCGUGUCGUGAGAUGUUGGGUUAAGUCCCGCAACGAGCGCAACCCCUACUUUUAGUUGCCAUCAUUACUGGGCACUCUAAGAGGACUGCCGAGGACAACUCGGAGGAAGGUGGGGAUGACGUCAAGUCAGUAUGUCCCUUACGUCCAGGGCUACACACGUGUUACAAUGGCCAGUACAACGGGUUGCUAAGUCGUAAGGCGGAGCUAAUCCCUUAAAACUGGCCUCAGUUCGGAUUGGAGUCUGCAACUCGACUCCAUGAAGUCGGAAUCGCUAGUAAUCACGGAUCAGAUGCCGUGGUGAAUACGUUCCCGGGCCUUGUACACACCGCCCGUCACGCCAUGGAAGUCGGUAACACCCGAAGUCGCUGUCCUAACCGGCGGGAGGGAGGUGCCGAAGGUGAGACUGAUGACUGGGGCGAAGUCGUAACAAGGUAGCCGUACCGGAAGGUGCGGCUGGAUCACCU
rnacentral:rRNA from 1 species